AUGCAGUCACUCCAUUUUUCAUUCAAGACACACAACACCGAAUUGCGCAUACGUUCCCUUGGCCUUGCUCUUGUGCUACUGAUCUCCUUGGCCUCUCCCACAAGUUCCUGCACGGAACAGGAGAAAACCUCAUUUCUCCGGUUCCUCGCUGGACUCUCAUGGGACGGUGGCCUUGCUGCCUCAUGGCGGAACAACACGGAUUGCUGCAAGUGGGAAGGGAUCACCUGCAGGCAAGAUAGCAUGGUCACCAAAGUCAUGGUGGCUUCAAGAGGUCUAGAGGGGCACAUCUCGGAGUCCCUUGGAAACCUCACUGGGCUGCAGUACCUUAACCUCUCUCACAACUCGCUGUCUGGUGGUCUGCCACUGGAAUUGGUGUCGUCCAACAGCAUCACCGUUCUUGAUGUCAGCUUUAACCAGCUCAACGGAACACUCCACGAGCUGCCAUCUUCAACCCCUGCAUGGCCUCUGCAGGUACUGAAUAUCUCAAGCAACCUAUUUGCAGGACAGUUCCCAUCCACCACAUGGAAAGCAAUGGAGAAUCUGAUAGCACUCAACGCAAGUAAUAACAGCUUUACAGGGCAGAUACCAACUCAUUUCUGUAGCAGCUCACCAUCCCUCGCCGUGCUAGAUCUGCGUUUAAACAAAUUCAGUGGCAACAUCCCCAAAGAACUUGGUGACUGCUCCAAGCUGAGAGAGCUCAGGGCCGGGUACAACAACAUCAGCGGACAAGUCCCAGAUGAACUCUUCAAUGCCACUUCGCUGGAAUGCCUCUCUUUUCCUAACAAUGAUUUAAAUGGACUUAUUGAUGGUGCGCACAUAACCAACCUCAGAAAUCUAGUAACACUUGAUCUUGGAGGGAACAACUUCAGUGGCAAGAUUCCAGAUUCCAUAGGCCAGCUCAAGAAAUUGGAGGAGUUCCAUUUGGACAACAACAAUUUGUCAGGGGAGCUGCCAUCAGCUCUAAGCAACUGCACAAAUCUUGCAGUACUUGUCCUCUCGAGCAACAAAUUCAGUGGACAGCUCACCAAGGUCAACUUCUCCAACCUGCCAAAUCUAAGGACAUUAGAUGUUUACUACAACAACUUCACCGGCACAGUUCCAGAAAGCAUAUACUCUUGCAGCAAUCUGACUGCACUGCGGGUAUCUACCAACAAAUUAGAUGGGCAGCUUUCACCAAGAAUAAGUGAUCUGAAGAGCCUCACCUUCCUAUCACUUUCUACAAACCGUUUCAGAAAUAUCACAAACGCACUUCAAAUCCUUAAGAGCUGCAGGAACCUUACCACUCUGCUUAUCGGCGAUAACUUCAAGCAAGAGUUCAUGACUGAGGAUGACAGAAUUGAUGGCUUCGAGAAGCUCCAGGUUUUGGACAUCGAAGAUUGCCAGUUGUCAGGAAAAAUACCUCUAUGGAUAUCAAGGCUCACAAAUUUGGAGAUGUUACUUUUGAAUAGAAAUCGACUCACUGGACCAAUACCAGGAUGGAUCAACUCCCUAAGCCAUCUCUUCUAUAUGGAUGUGUCAAACAACAGUCUUACAGGACAAAUCCCGUUAACCUUGACGGAGAUGCCAAUGCUAAAAUCAACUUACAGCACAACGCAUUGGAACCCAAGCGUCUUUGAGCUGACAGUUAAUAGUGGUCUAUCACUUCAAUACCGUACCAUUACAUCUUUCCCAAGUGUGCUGAAUCUAAGCAACAACAACUUAGCAGGUGUGAUUCCCCCACAGAUUGGUCAGUUGAAAAUGCUUGGUGCACUUGAUUUCAGUUUUAACAAGUUAUCCGGGCAGAUCCCACAAGCGAUUUGCAACCUCACAAACUUGCAGGUGUUAGACUUGUCCAACAACAAUCUUACAGGUGAUAUCCCAGCUGCAUUGAACAGCCUGCACUUCCUUUCAGCAUUCAGCAUUUCGAACAAUGACCUACAAGGGCCUAUUCCAUCUGGAGGCCAGUUUAAUACAUUUCAGAAUUCUAGUUUCGAUGGGAACCCAAAGCUAUGUGGCUCUGUUCUCACUCAAAAAUGCAAUUCAGCGGAAGAACAUCACAUUCUGUCAGCAAAACAAACUGACUACAAGGUAGCCUUUGUGGUUGCAUUCAGUGCAUUCUUUGGUGUAGGAGUGCUGUAUGAUCAGUUAGUCUUGUCAAGGUAUUUUGUCAAGUCCUAA
rnacentral:rRNA from 1 species